rnacentral:rRNA from 1 species
CGGCGAGUGAAGCGGGAUGAGCUCAAGCUUAAAAUCUCCGUGCAAAUUUUGCAUGGCGAAUUGUAGUCUAUAGAGGCGUGAUUAGCGUAGGCACUUGGGGCAAGUUCCUUGGAAGAGGACAGCAUCGAGGGUGAUACUCCCGUUUAUCUCCGAGUUGCUUAUGCGUACAAUCCGUUUUCUUUGAGUCGCGUUGUUUGAGAAUGCAGCGCAAAGUAGGUGGUAAAUUCCAUCUAAAGCUAAAUAUUGGUGCGAGACCGAUAGCAAACAAGUACCGUGAGGGAAAGAUGAAAAGAACUUUGAAAAGAGAGUUAAAGAGUACCUGAAACUGCUGAAAGGGAACCAAAUCGUUUCUAGUGUCUAUAAUCCGUGGUAUAUUUCAUUGGCGAAUGUGUGCGUGCAUGUACUAUGGCAGUGGCUUUUUGCUGCGCCUUGUGCGUGUGUGUGCACUUUCUCGCUGAUGCCCUGUACCGUGGUGGGACGUCAAUGUCGGUUCGUAAAUUGCGGGAAAUGACUGCCGAGGAGGUAGGGCGAACGCUUGCGUUUGUCUGUUAUAUCUUGGCGGACGUAGUAGUCGCGGUUGGGACUGAGGUGCCUACAAUGUGCUUAUGAGUAGAAUUGAUUCUUCGUGUGCGCCGUGUGCGGAUAGCUUGCUAUGCGUGUGUGGCUGUGUGUGGAUUGA